AAAUAGCCAUCGAUACUGUUGUUCUUGAGUUCGGCUGAGGUAGGCGGAAUGAGUAAUGUAGCGGUGAAAUGCUUAGAUAUUACUCAGAACACCGAUUGCGUAGGCAGCUUACCAAACCGACACUGACGCUGAGGCACGAAAGCGUGGGGAGCGAACAGGAUUAGAUACCCUGGUAGUCCACGCUGUAAACGUUGAUUACUCGUUGUUGGCAAUACAUCGUCAGCGACUGAGCGAAAGCAUUAAGUAAUCCACCUGGGGAGUACGUCAGCAAUGAUGAAACUCAAAGGAAUUGACGGGGGCCCGCACAAGCGGAGGAACAUGUGGUUUAAUUCGAUGAUACGCGAGGAACCUUACCUGGGCUUAAAUGUAGAGUGCAUUCCCGAGAAAUCGGGAUUUCCUUCGGGACUCUUUACAAGGUGCUGCAUGGUUGUCGUCAGCUCGUGCCGUGAGGUGUCGGGUCAAGUCCCAUAACGAGCGCAACCCUCAUCGCCAGUUGCCAUCACAUCAUGGUGGGGACUCUGGUGAAACUGCCGGUGCAAACCGUGAGGAAGGUGAGGAUGACGUCAAAUCAGCACGGCCCUUAUGUCCAGGGCUACACACGUGUUACAAUGGCCGGUACAACGGGCAGCUACACAGCGAUGUGAUGCUAAUCCCCAAAACCGGUCUUAGUUCGGAUCGGAGUCUGCGACUCGACUCCGUG
rnacentral:rRNA from 1 species